rnacentral:rRNA from 1 species
GGGGGCAACCCUGACCGAGCAACGCCGCGUGAGUGAAGAAGGUUUUCGGAUCGUAAAGCUCUGUUGUAAGUCAAGAACGGGUGUGAGAGUGGAAAGUUCACACUGUGACGGUAGCUUACCAGAAAGGGACGGCUAACUACGUGCCAGCAGCCGCGGUAAUACGUAGGUCCCGAGCGUUGUCCGGAUUUAUUGGGCGUAAAGCGAGCGCAGGCGGUUUGAUAAGUCUGAAGUUAAAGGCUGUGGCUCAACCAUAGUUCGCUUUGGAAACUGUCAAACUUGAGUGCAGAAGGGGAGAGUGGAAUUCCAUGUGUAGCGGUGAAAUGCGUAGAUAUAUGGAGGAACACCGGUGGCGAAAGCGGCUCUCUGGUCUGUAACUGACGCUGAGGCUCGAAAGCGUGGGGAGCGAACAGGAUUAGAUACCCUGGUAGUCCACGCCGUAAACGAUGAGUGCUAGGUGUUGGAUCCUUUCCGGGAUUCAGUGCCGAAGCUAACGCAUUAAGCACUCCGCCUGGGGAGUACGACCGCAAGGUUGAAACUCAAAGGAAUUGACGGGGGCCCGCACAAGCGGUGGAGCAUGUGGUUUAAUUCGAAGCAACGCGAAGAACCUUACCAGGUCUUGACAUCCCGAUGCUAUUUCUAGAGAUAGAAAGUUACUUCGGUACAUCGGUGACAGGUGGUGCAUGGUUGUCGUCAGCUCGUGUCGUGGGAUGUUGGGUUAAGUCCCGCAACGAGCGCAACCCCUAUUGUUAGUUGCCAUCAUUCAGUUGGGCACUCUAGCGAGACUGCCGGUAAUAAACCGGAGGAAGGUGGGGAUGACGUCAAAUCAUCAUGCCCCUUAUGACCUGGGCUACACACGUGCUACAAUGGUUGGUACAACGAGUUGCGAGUCGGUGACGGCGAGCUAAUCUCUUAAAGCCAAUCUCAGUUCGGAUUGUAGGCUGCAACUCGCCUACAUGAAGUCGGAAUCGCUAGUAAUCGCGGAUCAGCACGCCGCGGUGAAUACGUUCCCGGGCCUUGUACACACCGCCCGUCACACCACGAGAGUUUGUAACACCCGAAGUCGGUGAGGUAGCCUUUUGGAGCC